rnacentral:rRNA from 1 species
CCUGGGAACAGAUAGCUAAUACCGGGAUAACAACAGAUGAUGCCCUAUCAACUGUUUUAAAAGUAAUGGGUUCUGCUAUCACUCUUGGAUGGGACCCUGCGGUGCAUUAGCUAGUUGGUAGGGUAACGGGGCCUACCAAGGCGAUGAUGCAUAGCCGAGUUGAGAGACUGAUCGGCCACAUUGGGACUGAGACACGGCCCAAACUCCUACGGGAGGCAGCAGUAGGGAAUCUUCCACAAUGGACGCAAGUCUGAUGGAGCAACGCCGCGUGAGUGAAGAAGGGUUUCGGCUCGUAAAGCUCUGUUGUUGGUGAAGAAGGACAGGGGUAGUAACUGACCUUUGUUUGACGGUAAUCAAUUAGAAAGUCACGGUUAACUACGUGCCAGCAGCCGCGGUAAU